GCGAGCUUAGCUUGUUGAGCUUGUAUAGUAGGUCCUAAGGAGAGAACCAUGCUGCACGUAGGUCAGAUCAAUUUUGGCCAAAGUCCAAAUGAUUCGCUCAAUUCGCCUAAGGUUGGGUUGGUUAUUGAUCCGAUUAUUUAUUGAGCUUAGCCUAUCUUGACCCAAACAUUUCAACCCAAUUAAAGUUGGGCUAAUUUUUAGUCCAAAUUGAUCUGUGAGUAAGUUUGUCAAAAUAUCUUAUAAAUAAUUUUCUUUUUUUGUUUAAUAUUUUAAAUAUGACCAUAACAAAAGCAAAAAAACCUUAUUUAGUAAAUAUACAAUUUAUAAGAAAAUAACACAUUUUAGUUAAAGUUUAAUAAGAGUUGGGCGGGUUGGUUUAUGACCCGAAUUUUAACCCAUCUUGACCCA
rnacentral:lncRNA from 1 species